UUGAAAUAAUGGCAAUAUGUUUUAUCAAUAACAAUUCACCUAGUGAAUCAUACCAUAAUUUUGGUAUGAUUAU